GGACAGGGAGAGAGCGUGGUACUAAGUGGUUCAGGAUUCCGCGAGACGACAGCCCAGUCUACCAGUCCAUUUGUGGCAUGUGAGAGCUUUGUUGACAUGAGGUCUGACCCGGAGAUCCUUCAUUCAUGACUGCAGUGAACCUUUCCCACCUUAUGGUUCACAGGGUCAAGGGGUAACCAAAGCGGCUUCCAGGAGA
rnacentral:lncRNA from 1 species